UACGGAAGGAGCUAGCGUUGUUCGGAAUUACUGGGCGUAAAGCGCACGUAGGCGGCUUUGUAAGUUAGAGGUGAAAGCCCGGGGCUCAACCCGGAAUUGCCUUUAAGACUGCAUCGCUUGAAUCCGGGAGAGGUGAGUGGAAUUCCGAGUGUAGAGGUGAAAUUCGUAGAUAUUCGGAAGAACACCAGUGGCGAAGGCGGGUCAUCUGGGCAGUAACUGACGCUGAGGAGCGAAAGCGUGGGGAGCGAACAGG
rnacentral:rRNA from 1 species